CCUACGGGAGGCAGCAGUAGGGAAUAUUGCUCAAUGGGGGAAACCCUGAAGCAGCAACGCCGCGUGGGGGAUGAAGGUUUUCGGAUUGUAAACUCCUUUUGUUAGAGAAGAUAAUGACGGUAUCUAACGAAUAAGCACCGGCUAACUCCGUGCCAGCAGCCGCGGUAAUACGGAGGGUGCAAGCGUUACUCGGAAUCACUGGGCGUAAAGAGCGCGUAGGCGGGAUAGCAAGUCAGAUGUGAAAUCCUAGGGCUUAACCAUAGAACUGCAUUUGAAACUGUUAUUCUAGAGUAUGUGAGAGGUAGGUGGAAUUCUGGGUGUAGGGGUAAAAUCCGUAGAGAUCAAGAGGAAUACUCAUUGCGAAGGCGACCUGCUAGAACAUAACUGACGCUGAUGCGCGAAAGCGUGGGGAGCAAACAGGAUUAGAUACCCUAGUAGUC
rnacentral:rRNA from 1 species